CUUUUUUUCAAAGCACAGCAAUACCAAACCAGCCCUUAGAGAGAGAAAUUAGAGAGAGGAGCGCAGAGAGGGAGUAAAAGUAGAGUGAGAGUGAGUUGAGAGAGAUAUUAAUGGCCUGAUUGGCAUCUGACUUGAAAACGAAAUUCAAAAUUUUAAUUUUUUCUAAAAACACAUGUUUUGAUUUAAAAAUUUUAAAUUCAAAACCUUGUUUGGUAUGCAAUUUCUCAAAACUAAUACAAACAGAAAAAGUCAAACGCCCAGCCCAAGCAAUUACCUGACCACCGCAUCCCUCACUUCCCUAGCGGCGACUCCUUUGGCUAUACCAACUCCAAACUUGCGCUGACAGAGGCUAAUCAUGUUAGCAGUCUCAAACCUGAGAUCCAACGACCAUAUGGAAGAUGUGGUGGCUAUGGUGGAUAUAAGCGGGAAGGGAUUGGAAAUGCAAUAGAGAGGAGAGAUCGAAUUGUCUUGGCUGGAGGCAGAAGGAUAGAGGUGGUGGCUAUGGUGGAUAUAAGCGGGAAGGGAUUGGAAGUGCAAUAGAGAAAAGAGGAUUGAAGAGGCAAGAGGGAAGGGAGUACAUCGAAUGAGAGAGAGGAGAGAGAGGGAGAGAGAGAAGGGGAAUGAUAAUCCAUAAAUUAAAAGGUCUAAAAACACACUUUUUGUGUUUUCAACCAAUAGCCCUUGUUUUCAGAUAUUUUUGAGUAGUGGUUUUGAGAAUUGUAUUCAAAUCCACUACCAAACAAAGACUUUAAAUUUGUGACUCAAAACUUGUUUUUGAGUUAAAAACAUUGGAUCCAAAUCAAAUACCGAACAGACCCUAAAGUAUCUAUUUAAAUAUUUUGAAUUUGGGGAUGGGGGGAGAGACUUUGUUUCAGAAAUUGAAAUUUUUUAAAACAAUUGUCAGAAUUUAGGCUCAAUUAACAUAUUAUACAGUACCAACUUAACUAAUAUAAAGAGUUCCGACCAAAAAUACAGUAACGAAGAAAACAAACUAGCUAUUUUUACGCGAUCUCAAUUUCGCUUCCGCUCCGGGCAGUGGCUAACACCUGCUAAAGUAAAAAAAAUCGAGAAUCACAUCAACGAAUUGACAAAUAGAAGCCCACUAGCCUCAAUUUUGUGUAAAAAUAACAUUACGUAAGGUAUCGUUUGGUAUGCAGACGGGACGGGACGGAACAGAGAGGGAGCAAAUUUUGUGUUCCACAGAUGUGGAACGAAUCGUUCUAGGGGAUGAGGCGGAAUGAAAAUUCACCCAAAACUCAUCCCGUGGAACAGCGCGUUCCACCUGUUUUAGGCGUACCAAACGUCUCACGGAACACCUCGUCUCACUCCGUUCCGUCCCGUCCCACGUACCAAACGGUACAUAAGGUAACUCAGGUGAUAAGUUAAAAAUAACUCCUCAUCCAGUGUGCGAGUUAAAAAUUAAAUAAACAAAUAAAAACUAAAAAGAAGCAGAAUCAAAGGGUUUGAGCUUUAGUAGCUUAGUAAGGACAUGACCUUACCACAAUAAAUUGACCAAACUAGUUCCCAUAUUCAUACCUCUAUUCUUGUGAAUUCAUACUCCAAAAUACACAAAAGCCUCACGCAUUCCGUACAGUGCUUUGGACUCGAGUGUCUUGUUAUAUAAAUUACCACCCAUGACACAUCCCACUAUUACAUGUUUGAAUCUCCUAACUCCAGCUUCUGGAGCAGGGCCGGCCCUAAGAUUUCAGGGGCCUUGUGCGAAAGUGAAUUGGAUGCCCUAAAAAGUACUAAAGAUUUAAUUUUUUAAUUUUUUUGUUCAAAAAAAUAAUUUUAGUCCAGCUUAUGGAGCAGGGCCGGCCCUAAGAUUUCAGGGGCCAUGUGCGAAAGUGAAUUGAAGGCCCUAAAAAGUACUAAAGAUUUAUUUUUUUUAAUUUUUUUGUUCGAAAAAAUAAUUUUUGUUUUUAAUUAAACUUCUAUAAAUUCCAAUAGCACAAACAAAUUUAACAUAUCAACAAGUGGAAAGGUGGUGUAUUAUUUUUCCUUAACUAUUUAGAGGGCCAGUGUUCGAAUUUUCAUGUUAUUGUGUGAAAUUUUUAUAUUAUUUUGUGGAAGCUUAUGUAUUUAAUAAAAAUAAACUGAAAAAAUAAUGGAGACAAGUUUCAAACCCAUCCCCUAGGCCGAUGUAAAGAAGCAAUAAUAUCACUUGCGCUAAGACUCAAGUUUGUAAUAUUCUACACAUAUUACUAUAUAUACGUAUAUGCAUGCAAAAUUGAAAAAUCGGGGGCCUUCCGAUUUGGGGACCCUGUGCGGUGGCACUACUUGCACCCCCCUCAAGGCCGGCCCUAUUAUGGAGUUCUUUCCAACAGUCGAUUGUUGGCAAUCGGGCAGAGAUCUAUUUUCUGUAGCAGGAAGCAAAGGCCUUACUAGAUAGGGCAAUCAGAAGCGUCGGUUUACGACACAGGGAGAGAAAUGCAACCACGAGAUAAAAGUUGGGUAAGUGUAGUAUAGCCUUUUUAUUUGAGUGCCCGAAACCCCCAAAAUGGUCCCUCACAUAAAGGUCGUAUUUCCCAUGCCUAAAUUCUAAAGCAUUGCUCCGAGUUACGAACAUUCUAAAGCAUUGCUCCGAGUUACGAACAUAAGAAUCCAUUACUGCGACAAGCACCUGUUCACAAAUAUGUAAGAUAUCGAUAUUACUAAUGAAUAACUAUAACUGUAGCCGUAUUGUUUGGGAUUACUAAUUCAACACUACUAUUAUCCAAAUGCCAUUUUGAUGCAAGUGACCCUUUACCACAAUGGUGAAAAUGUAUAAAGUCCUUACGUGACGGCAUGGGUUCGAGUUCUAUCGGUGGUUAAUUUAGCAUUUAAUCUAAUAAAAUUUAUCGUCUGACAAAAAAAAAA